AGUGAACGCUGGCGGUCGGCCUAACACAUGCAAGUCGAACGGCAGCACAGGAGAGCUUGCUCUCUGGGUGGCGAGUGGCGGACGGGUGAGGAAUACAUCGGAAUCUACUCUGUCGUGGGGGAUAACGUAGGGAAACUUACGCUAAUACCGCAUACGACCUACGGGUGAAAGCAGGGGAUCUUCGGACCUUGCGUGAUUGAAUGAGCCGAUGUCGGAUUAGCUAGUUGGAGGGGUAAAGGCCCACCAAGGCGACGAUCCGUAGCUGGUCUGAUGGGAUGAUCGACCAGACUGGAACGGAGAUACUGUCCACACUCCUACGGGGAGCAGCAGUGGGGAAUAGUGGAAAAUGGGAGCAAGCCUAAUCCAGCCAUACCGCGUGGGUAAAGAAGGCCUUCGGGUUGUAAAGCCCUUUUGUUGGGAAAGACAUCCAGCUGGCUAAUACCCGGUUGGGAUGACGGUACCCAAAGAAUAAGCACCGGCUAACUUCGUGCCAGCCGCCGCAGUAA
rnacentral:rRNA from 1 species